UGGGGAAUAUUGGACAAUGGGCGCAAGCCUGAUCCAGCCAUGCCGCGUGAGUGAUGAAGGCCCUAGGGUUGUAAAGCUCUCUCACCGGUGAAGAUAAUGACGGUAACCGGAGAAGAAGCCCCGGCUAACUUCGUGCCAGCAGCCGCGGUAAUACGAAGGGGGCUAGCGUUGUUCGGAUUUACUGGGCGUAAAGCGCACGUAGGCGGACUUUUAAGUCAGGGGUGAAAUCCCGGGGCUCAACCCCGGAACUGCCUUUGAUACUGGAAGUCUUGAGUAUGGUAGAGGUGAGUGGAAUUCCGAGUGUAGAGGUGAAAUUCGUAGAUAUUCGGAGGAACACCAGUGGCGAAGGCGGCUCGCUGGACCAUUACUGACGCUGAGGUGCGAAAGCGUGGGGAGCAAACAGG
rnacentral:rRNA from 1 species